UAGGGAAUCUUCCACAAUGGACGCAAGUCUGAUGGAGCAACGCCGCGUGAGUGAAGAAGGUCUUCGGAUCGUAAAGCUCUGUUGUUGGUGAAGAAGGAUAGAGGCAGUAACUGGUCUUUAUUUGACGGUAAUCAACCAGAAAGUCACGGCUAACUACGUGCCAGCAGCCGCGGUAAUACGUAGGUGGCAAGCGUUGUCCGGAUUUAUUGGGCGUAAAGCGAGCGCAGGCGGAAUGAUAAGUCUGAUGUGAAAGCCCACGGCUCAACCGUGGAACUGCAUCGGAAACUGUCAUUCUUGAGUGCAGAAGAGGAGAGUGGAACUCCAUGUGUAGCGGUGGAAUGCGUAGAUAUAUGGAAGAACACCAGUGGCGAAGGCGGCUCUCUGGUCUGCAACUGACGCUGAGGCUCGAAAGCAUGGGUAGCGAACAGGAUUAGAUAUCCUGGUAGUCCAUGCCGUAAACGAUGAGCGCUAGGUGUUGGGGACUUUCCGGUUCUCAGUGCCGCAGCAAACGCAUUAAGCGCUCCGCCUGGGGAGUACGACCGCAAGGUUGAAAC
rnacentral:rRNA from 1 species